AGGAGGAGGGAAGCCGGAAGCGAGUACCACGGCGUUUCAGUAAACAACGACGUUUCAGGAAACGCCAUUGCAUUUUGUUGAUUACUGGUCUAGUAAUUUGUGGAUCUUACUGAAGAAAGAGUAAUGUGCUAGCUAAGAUGUUUUUUCCUUCUAAAGUCAAGUAUCUCCCACUCUCUUCCUCCUCGGUUUCUCCCCUAAAUCUGGCCAUUCUUUCAAAUGGUUCUAAACAUAAAAGAUGGUUGCUUAGAUGACAUUUCUUUCUCCAAACUCUUUUUGAAAUCAAAGCACACCAGCUAGUCCUAAGUAAACAUGGCCUAUGGCCUAAUACAUAGUGAUAUCUAAAACCAUAUCCCCCUGCUGCUCUGUCGUGUUGCUGGCUACAUAGGAAAGCUGUAUUGAGUCGUCUAGGCUUCCUUCUUUUCUCUCCUUUAUUCCUCUCUCAAUGAAAAUGAAUCAAUUCAAUUUUAGCAAAAAUUACAAUACUUUUCUCCUUUUACAGCAAAGGCCCUACAAUACCUACAUAACCUCGGGAUUGUGCACAGGGAUGUGAAACCAGCGAACAUUCUUCUUGAUAGACAGCUACAACCACGUCUUGCUGACUUUGGUCUGGCAGAAUACAAAAAGAAUCUUAAACUAGUUUCCACUGAAAACUGGAAAUCUACUGGCAAGCCUACUGGAGGUUUCCAUAAGAGGAAUAUGGUUGGUACGCUUAUUUACAUGGCACCAGAGGUGCUGAGGAAAGAGAUACAGACUGAAAAAUCUGAUGUAUAUAGCUUUGGAAUAUCAGUGAAUGAGCUGCUUACUGGCGUAGUUCCAUACACUGAUCUCCGUUCAGAGGCACAGGUUGGUCUUUCUUUCACUUCCUCAAAAUGUCAGCCUUUAAUUACAACAACAAAUACACCUCAACCUCAAGCUUGUUAGGGCCCGCGAAUUGUCAACUUUUAUUUAACCUAUCAUCUGUA